rnacentral:misc_RNA from 1 species
ACAAACUUGGUCAUUUAGAGGAAGUAAAAGUCGUAACAAGGUUUCCGUAGGUGAACCUGCGGAAGGAUCAUUAUUGAAUAUAUUACCUUGGUGGGUUGUAGCUGGCCUCUUGAGGCAUGUGCACACCUAUCUUGAUACUAUUCAUCCACCUGUGCAUCUAUUGUAGUUCUUUGCUCUUAGUAGGUGAUGAGAAGCAGGCUGUUAUUCAGUUGAGACAUACUGGUUUUGAGGAUUGCCUUUUUUGGCUAUCUUUUUUCUAGCCUUGUGCAAUUGUGCCUACCUAAGGUCCAAGGGACUAUGUUUUUAAUCAUAAACCAAUGUUGUAUGUUAUUAGAAUGUCAUUCAAUGGGCUUUUUUAUGCCUAUAAAAAUCUAUACAACUUUCAGCAACGGAUCUCUUGGCUCUCGCAUCGAUGAAGAACGCAGC